GAACUCCUCAGUGUUAGGCGGCUCCUCCUGAACCACCUGAUCAUCUCCUGUGGGGGGGGUGUGAGACAGCAAGGGUGAGCUCACACAUGAUCAUCGCUCAACAAGUUGUGGGGAAUAAUGUGACAUGAACUCACCAAAGGUGGGAGCUCAUGUGAAGUGUAAGGCUGAUCAAUGAUAGGGGUUAAAGCUGAGCAUUGCUUUUAAGUAGUUGGUCAAAAUUUUAUUAGCAGUUACUAAGUGUAAGUAAAUACCAAACCUUAGAUAAAGUAAUUGCACAAAUUAAUAAUAAACCCAUGCAUAUGCAAAUGACAAAAUUGAAUUUAAGUUCCAUAAUUUAAACAUCAGAGAGUCCUGAGCUGCUCAUGACCGUGAGCUCGGCUAGUAUACCAGUUUUACACUCUGCAGAGGUUGUACCCUUUACCCACAAGUCAUGUUACCCAUCUGCCAAGGGGUCAUGAAUCCCAUACACCUCUACCUAGGAAGCGCGGCAGGGCAACACUACGAGGCCUUUACAAAGUUCCACUAGCUUCCGAAAACCCGCUACAGUUUAUGGGAAGAUCCAGUACAGGGUUCCUGGCUGACCGCCAUCGCAGCAAAAUCAACCAGGGACCUCCCCGCACUGACCUCUCCCCUACUGCCCUUGCCCCUUUCGGGUAAGGUAGUCUUCCACUAGCUUUCCUAGUUAAUCAGCCAAGGGCGUCCCAUUAAACCCUUGUGGUGGCACGUGGUUCUCAAGUUAAGCUCUAUGUUCCAAUUAACAUUAAUGAUCUCAACAUGAACAUAAAUAGAAUAACAAAAAUAACUGGAACAUAGAGGUAAUAAAUGAUUAUCCCAAAACCAUGUAAAGCAAUAGCAAACUACCCAAGUGAUUCAGGGGUGAACAAGGUAAUGAGAUAAACAAUCUAGGGUAACCUAUUGGGUCCCAUCAAAAUUAACCUAUGCAUGGAUAAGUGAUAUUAAAGAACAUUAUUGGGUAAAAAGUGGUCAAGGGCACAACUUGCCUGGCACUUGAGAUUCCAGGUACCAACUUGCUUUUCAGAUGACACGUGUCCCCGCGCUAGUCGUAGCAAUACAAACAAACAUGGUAUAGAUAAAAUUAACAUCACACCAAACAUAAGUACAAACUGAAUAAUAAUGAUCUACGUGUUGCUACGAGACUAACGCAACUUGAACGGAUCAAAUCGGAGUUAAAACGAAGAAGAUACAAAUUUCCUAAGGUUUUAUGUAUUUGAUACAUGAUUAAUUAAGAAAUAAAUUUUAAUACCAUUUUUAUGUUAAAACAGAGACACUAUGUAAUAAACAACAUUAUUAUAAAAUUACCGGAACUAGAAUGGACUAAUUUGGACUCAAUAUGAAUUUUAUAUGAAUUACGCAAACUCUAGUCAUUAUUCUUAUAUUAAAAAUAGAUUUCUAUUUCUUUUUCCUAUAUUUUCUAUUUACUGGACUGCAACCUGAAAUCUGAGAAGCGCAGGGGUCCUGAUGAAAUUAAUCCUAAGACACAGUUGACCCACUCGGUGGACUGCGGGUUGGUUUCUUAAAAAUGUGAGGGCUCUUUUAUAAACUUAGAUGGCCGAAGGGGUACGCGGAGAUCUCGGCCGCUGGAUCAAAACCAAACGGACCGGAUUACAUCUAGUUGCCUACAAACCCGUCUCGACAGGAGCCCUUAGAUCUAGAUCCUAUGACCAGAAUCCGCCCACGCUAGUCGCCAAUCCGAGUGGUCUAUCGGCCAUCCAACGGCUACCAUCUAAGAUGAGCGGAUCAGCGAAGUCUACCCUAGGAUCCCAGAUUGACGCUCGACAGUGAUCCGGACACAAUACCCCUUCCCUUCAAUCUGGAUUGUUCGCAAGGGAUCAGACGGCCGGGAAUCUUCCCCCCUAUCCCGGCCGGCCAAACACGGCGACGCCGUCGGCAUUCCCAUGGCAGCCUCCCGCCGGAGAUGCCCGAGCCACCCGAGAACUCCCAAUCGCUACCACCCGACUCCUACGCUGAAUAUUAAGUACGAUGAACAGCAGGGGCCUUACCGAAUUUUGUGCUACGCAAGGAAUUCUCCACGGAGAUGGACAGCUUUACGGUGGCGCACGACCCACCGGCGGAGAUGGCCUCGCCGGGCACUAACAACCAGCGCCAUCCUCGAUUCCAUUGGUACAAUGCGCAUCAGAGAGAAACUCACUUUCUGAAGGUAUGUACCUCACGGAACACGACGACGGGAAUGCGGCUGGCCACAGCACAGGGCGGAAGAACUCGAUUAAGAAUGCUCCGGUGACGAAUUCAUCACACGCCAACCACUGAUUCCGCACACCGAGGCUUCUAUUACUCUUGACGCACCCAGACGAGAUUCCUCAGCCUAAUAAUCGCGAGUCACAACAUCAAUGGUGGGAACGGCGACCUCACUUCUCUCACCUAUCUCUCGUGUUCCCAGGCGGCUGUAUGCUUCUUCCGCACAGCUAUGGCUUGUGCGUGGUCUUAUAGGUCCGGGAUUACGGAAGUUGGAUAGCGCACGACACGGCCCAAACGGUUGCAACGACAUUGACGAAAUGCUCGGAGAAAUCCCAAGAAUCGCGGCGCUGUGACAACGGAUCCGGCAGACCUGAGCUAGGAGAAAUGCCCUGACAGGGUUGGGCCACAUGCUGGGGCAAGAGGGAGGGAGACGCCCUGGGUCCCACACAGCCGCGGCGCUGGGGCAAACAGAGCUCGCGAGUGCGCAUCCGCGCGGGACACGCGCGUGGAGCCGCUGGAGCCGCGCAACCUACGGAGAUCGCAGCGCAGGGAGUGGAGAAGCUGUUGGGGAAGAAGGAGACCGGAUUUCUAGAGGGCCCACAUGGCGGUGACCCCAUUGAAGCAGCGUGCGGCGCGUGAUGUGUAGGGUGGGCUGCACAGGAAGGAGGCGGGUGGGCCGAGGCCAUCCCAAUUUCGGCCCAGUGCGGCUGAAGUAUAUUUUCUUUUUAUUUUCUGCUUCUUUUCUUUGUAAGUUCCCAUUUCUAAAUAUUCAAGUUAGUCAUUUAAUCCCAAAUUGGAUUAUUAAUUUGUUUCCAUUAAUGUGACUACUAUUAUUGUUAAAUUUAAUUAAAAGCCAACAUGGUGCACAAAUUAGGGAUGUGUCAUCUAUUAUUUAUUUACUUUUAAAUGUGGUGUUCACAUGUGUUAAUGAGUGGUAGCCACACACUUAAAGGGAUAAAUCACUACUCUCAUUAUUUACAAUUUGGGCACUACAAAUCCUACCCCCCUUAAAAAGAAUCUCGUCCUCGAGAUUAGGAAGGAUUAGGGAAAAGAUGGGGAAAUCUAUGUGAAGCUCUUCUCUUUCCCAUAUCGCUUCAUCUUCUCCAUGGUGGCUCCAUUGUACUUUGCACAUCUUUAUAACCUUAUUUCUUGUAACUCGAGUCAAAGUAUCCAAAAUCUUAAUCGGGUACUCCGUGUAAGUCAAAUCGCCCUGAACACUGAGCUCUUCCAUUGGUAACUGUUCCUCAGGGACACGGAGACACUUCUUAAGUUGAGAUACGUGAAACACAUUAUGCACAUCCGAUAGACUAGCAGGUAACUCAAGUUGGUAUGCCAUCUCUCCAACUCUCCUAAAGAUCAAGAAUGGUCCAAUAUAGCGAGGGGACAAUUUGCCCUUAACUUUGAUUCUCCUUAUUCCACAAAAUGGUGACACUUUGAGGUACUCAUGAUCACUUUCCUCAAACUCCAGUGGUCUUCUUCUAUUAUCAGCGUAGCUCUUUACCUGGUCUGAGCUACCCUCAAAUUCUCCCGAAUUAUACGGACUUGUUCUUCUGCCUCUUGAAUCAGUUCAGGUCCAAAGAACUGUCUUUCUUCUAGUCUAGUCCAAAAAUAGAGGAGUCCUGCAUUUCCUGUCAUACAGAGUCUCGAACGAUGACAUCUUCAGACUGGCAUAUUAACUAGUAUAUGAGAACUCAGCAUAAGGUAGACUCUUGUCCCAACUGCUACCAUGCUGAAGGGCACAAGCUCUCAACAUGUCUUCCAAUACUUGAUUAGUCCUUUUAGUUUGUCCAUCAGUCUGAGGUUGGUAGGCCGAAUUAAAAUUCAACUUCGCAUCCACAUUCUCAUGAAAACUUUUCCAAAAUCUAGGGGUAAACUGUGAUCCUCUAUCCAAAAUGAUCCUCUUCGGUACACUGUGUAGAGACACAAUCCAAGCCAUAUAUAACUCUGCCAAUUAAGAUCCCUUAUACGUAGUCUUAACCGGAAUGAUAUGAGCCACUUUGGUCAGUCUAUCCACAAUAACCCAUAUCGAAUCAUAUCCUUUCGAGGUGCGAGGCAAUCUAGUAAUGAAGUUCAUACCAAUCUCUUCCCACUUCCACUAGGGUAUCUUUAGUGGAUGGAGUAGUCCAGUUGGCCUCUGGUGUUCAGCCUUAACUCUUUGACACACAUCGCGCAUAGCCACAUGUGCAGCCACAUCUCUCUUCAGUCCAUACCACCAGUACUUCUGCUUCAAAUCUUGAUGCAUCUUGAUACUUCCACGAUGAAUAGAAUAAUCCGAGUUAUGGGCUUCCUUUAAAAUAGUCUCACGAAGGCUUUCAAACUCAGGAACACAUAUCUUGUCCUUGAACCAUACGGUGCCUUGCUCAUCUUCCGUGAAUUCCGGACCUCGACCUUCAGUAAUAAGAUCCUUGAUCUCUUGUAUUUUAGCAUCACCCAUUUGUCCUUUGUGGAUUUCUUGCUCCAAAGUAGGUUCCACAUCAAUAGUGACUCCUUCAGUAUGAGCAACUAUCCCCAGGUUAAGUCUCUUGAAAUCCUCAACAAUCUCAUCGGGUAACUGGGCAACAAUAGCUGAAUGAACAUGCUCCUUACGACUCAAGGCAUCUGCAACCAAAUUUGCCUUCCCCGGGUGAUAGUGAAUCUCCAAAUCAUAAUCCUUAAUAAGCUCCAACCAACGGUGUUGCCUAAGGUUGAGAUCCUUCCGAGUGAAUAUAUACUUCAAACUCUUAUGAUCCGUGUACACUUGACACUUGGUUCCCAUGAUAUAAUGUCUCCAAAUCUUAAGCGCAUGCACAACGGCUGGCAAUUCCAAGUCAUGAGUGGGGUAGUUCAAUUCAUGUUUGCGUAACUGACGAGAAGCGUAGGCAAUCACAUGACCUUCCUGCAUGAGCACACAUCCUAAGCCUUGGCCACAUGCAUCACAAUAGAUAUCAAAUCCUUUCUGUAGGUCUAGCAUAACCAAUACUGGUGGCGACAUCAACCUCUUUUUCAAUUGCUCAAAGCUGUCUUGGCACUUCUCGUCCCACUUAAAUUCUUUUCCUUUCUCCAAAAGUGAAGUCAUAGGUUUAGCAAUCUUAGAAAAUCCUUCAAUAAAUCUCCGAUAAUAUCCUGCUAAUCCCAAGAAACUCCGAAUCUCAGUAACUGUAGUGGGUACUCUCCACUCCAUUAUCUCCUUAACUUUAGCAGGAUCCACUGCUAUUCCUCCAUGAUAUAUCCAAGGAAUGACACCUCGUCAAUCCAGAACUCGCAUUUACUGUACUUGGCAUAGAGUUGAUUAUCUCUUAGCUUCUGUAGCACCAAUCUCAGAUGUUCCUCGUGAUCGCUAUCACUCUUGGAAUAGACAAGAAUGUCGUCGAUGAACACCACGACGAAUCUGUCCAGAUCAUGAACACCUUAUUCUUCAGAUCCAUAAAAUAGGUUGGUGCAUUAGUUAGUCCAGAUGACAUAACUGUGAACUCAUAUAAUCCAUAUCUAGUCGAGAAAGCCGUCUUGGGAAUAUCCGAUGGUCUAAUCCUCAUCUGAUGAUAACCGGAUCGGAGAUCAAUCUUCGAGAAUACUCUUGCACCCCUCAUCUGAUCAAAUAAAUCCUCAAUACGGGGCAACGGAUACUUGUUCUUCACUGUAACAUCAUUAAGCGAUCUAUAAUCCACACACAUCCGCUGCGUUCCAUCCUUCUUCUGUACAAACAAGACCGGUGCUCCCCAAGGUGAAGAACUCGGACGAAUGUACUCGGCCUCUUGUAACUCAGUUAACUGCUUCUUAAGUUCCUUCAACUCCUCUACGGACAUCCUAUAUGGCCGUUUAGAAAUAGGGGCGGUUCCAGGUAAGAGGUCAAUAACAAACUCAACUUCUCUCUCAGGUGGCAUCCCUGGUAACUCUUCUGGGAAGACAUUCGGAAAAUCCUUAACUCCACGGAUGUUGCCACACACAAACUUCUCAUCUACUAAGAAUACCGCUAGUCUGGUGGUGGUAGUUACUGCAAUUUCAACUUCAAAUCUUUCUUCUUUGGAACUAGUGAGUUCUUUGGUUCCUUUAGCACAGUGUAUAAACUGUCGUUGCCUUUCUCAACCAUGACAUACCAAGGAUCACGUCUAUAGUGCUCUCUUCUAACACUAUAGGGGUAGCCCAUCUGGGUUAGAAACACAGGGUAAGAAGCAAGGAUGGUAGACUAGGCGAGUAAUUACGAAGGAUGUUACUACGGGGGAUUUAUUAGCUAAGUAGAUUAGUGUGUUAUCCACUAAAGCUAAUACAUUACCUUAUGGUGGUACAUGCUAAGAUGCUCGUCUAUACUAUUUCAAUCAAUCAAAGAAGCAAAUCAGACAUUGAUCAUCAGAACAAUCAACCAACAUUUUUAAUAGAGAAAAUAAUUUUAAUUUCGUCUUAGGCUCCCUAUCUCUUAAAAUAUCAUAGAUGUAGGAUUCCCAGGUGUGAAAUCCAUCUCGUCUCAGAGUAGAGAAGGUAAGAGUAAUCAGAGUAGGAAAGCAAAAGGUGAGACAGGAUCAAGAUAAGUAUAGAGAGAAUAAGAGUAAGGUAAGUAUAGAAUGAAUCAGAAGAAGGUAAGUAGAUAAGGGUUUGUCCAUUUCUAUCUAGGUUUCGUCCUACAGUCAACAUUUCCUCUGAUACCACUUCUGUAACACCCGGCUUUAAGGAACAAAGCCAGGUGCAUCUCAUACAUGCGCCAAGAAGACAACAUAUAUAAUAACAGAGUGUAUAGAGAUAAAUGUCAUAAAACAUCAGAGAAUUUAUUACAUAGCGGAAGACUUAUUACAAAAUAACAUAAUAAAGAUAAAACGAACUAAGGAUCGUCGGCGCCAAUGUCGACUGGGAAACGCCACCUAGAUCAGAUCGAACUCCUCAGUGUUAGGCGGCUCCUCCUGAACCACCUGAUCAUCUCCUGUGGGGGGGGGUGUGAGACAGCAAGGGUGAGCUCACACAUGAUCAUCGCUCAACAAGUUGUGGGGAAUAAUGUGACAUGAACUCACCAAAGGUGGGAGCUCAUGUGAAGUGUAAGGCUGAUCAAUGAUAGGGGUUAAAGCUGAGCAUUGCUUUUAAGUAGUUGGUCAAAAUUUUAUUAGCAGUUACUAAGUGUAAGUAAAUACCAAACCUUAAAUAAAGUAAUUGCACAAAUUAAUAAUAAACCCAUGCAUAUGCAAAUGACAAAAUUGAAUUUAAGUUCCAUAAUUUAAACAUCAGAGAGUCCUGAGCUGCUCAUGACCGUGAGCUCGGCUAGUAUACCAGUUUUACACUCUGCAGAGGUUGUACCCUUUACCCACAAGUCAUGUUACCCAUCUGCCAAGGGGUCAUGAAUCCCAUACACCUCUACCUAGGAAGCGCGGCAGGGCAACACUACGAGGCCUUUACAAAGUUCCACUAGCUUCCGAAAACCCGCUACAGUUUAUGGGAAGAUCCAGUACAGGGUUCCUGGCUGACCGCCAUCGCAGCAAAAUCAACCAGGGACCUCCCCGCACUGACCUCUCCCCUACUGCCCUUGCCCCUUUCGGGUAAGGUAGUCUUCCACUAGCUUUCCUAGUUAAUCAGCCAAGGGCGUCCCAUUAAACCCUUGUGGUGGCACGUGGUUCUCAAGUUAAGCUCUAUAUUCCAAUUAACAUUAAUGAUCUCAACAUGAACAUAAAUAGAAUAACAAAAAUAACUGGAACAUAGAGGUAAUAAAUGAUUAUCCCAAAACCAUGUAAAGCAAUAGCAAACUACCCAAGUGAUUCAGGGGUGAACAAGGUAAUGAGAUAAACAAUCUAGGGUAACCUAUUGGGUCCCAUCAAAAUUAACCUAUGCAUGGAUAAGUGAUAUUAAAGAACAUUAUUGGGUAAAAAGUGGUCAAGGGCACAACUUGCCUGGCACUUGAGAUUCCAGGUACCAACUUGCUUUUCAGAUGACACGUGUCCCCGCGCUAGUCGUAGCAAUACAAACAAACAUGGUAUAGAUAAAAUUAACAUCACACCAAACAUAAGUACAAACUGAAUAAUAAUGAUCUACGUGUUGCUACGAGACUAACGCAACUUGAACGGAUCAAAUCGGAGUUAAAACGAAGAAGAUACAAAUUUCCUAAGGUUUUAUGUAUUUGAUACAUGAUUAAUUAAGAAAUAAAUUUUAAUACCAUUUUUAUGUUAAAACAGAGACACUAUGUAAUAAACAACAUUAUUAUAAAAUUACCGGAACUAGAAUGGACUAAUUUGGACUCAAUAUGAAUUUUAUAUGAAUUACGCAAACUCUAGUCAUUAUUCUUAUAUUAAAAAUAGAUUUCUAUUUCUUUUUCCUAUAUUUUCUAUUUACUGGACUGCAACCUGAAAUCUGAGAAGCGCAGGGGUCCUGAUGAAAUUAAUCCUAAGACACAGUUGACCCACUCGGUGGACUGCGGGUUGGUUUCUUAAAAAUGUGAGGGCUCUUUUAUAAACUUAGAUGGCCGAAGGGGUACGCGGAGAUCUCGGCCGCUGGAUCAGAACCAAACGGACCGGAUUACAUCUAGUUGCCUACAAACCCGUCUCGACAGGAGCCCUUAGAUCUAGAUCCUAUGACCAGAAUCCGCCCACGCUAGUCGCCAAUCCGAGUGGUCUAUCGGCCAUCCAACGGCUACCAUCUAAGAUGAGCGGAUCAGCGAAGUCUACCCUAGGAUCCCAGAUUGACGCUCGACAGUGAUCCGGACACAAUACCCCUUCCCUUCAAUCUGGAUUGUUCGCAAGGGAUCAGACGGCCGGGAAUCUUCCCCCCUAUCCCGGCCGGCCAAACACGGCGACGCCGUCGGCAUUCCCAUGGCAGCCUCCCGCCGGAGAUGCCCGAGCCACCCGAGAACUCCCAAUCGCUACCACCCUACUCCUACGCUGAAUAUUAAGUACGAUGAACAGCAGGGGCCUUACCGAAUUUUGUGCUACGCAAGGAAUUCUCCACGGAGAUGGACAGCUUUACGGUGGCGCACGACCCACCGGCGGAGAUGGCCUCGCCGGGCACUAACAACCAGCGCCAUCCUCGAUUCCAUUGGUACAAUGCGCAGCAGAGAGAAACUCACUUUCUGAAGGUAUGUACCUCACGGAACACGACGACGGGAAUGCGGCUGGCCACAGCACAGGGCGGAAGAACUCGAUUAAGAAUGCUCCGGUGACGAAUUCAUCACACGCCAACCACUGAUUCCGCACACCGAGGCUUCUAUUACUCUUGACGCACCCAGACGAGAUUCCUCAGCCUAAUAAUCGCGAGUCACAACAUCAAUGGUGGGAACGGCGACCUCACUUCUCUCACCUAUCUCUCGUGUUCCCAGGCGGCUGUAUGCUUCUUCCGCACAGCUAUGGCUUGUGCGUGGUCUUAUAGGUCCGGGAUUACGGAAGUUGGAUAGCGCACGACACGGCCCAAACGGUUGCAACGACAUUGACGAAAUGCUCGGAGAAAUCCCAAGAAUCGCGGCGCUGUGACAACGGAUCCGGCAGACCUGAGCUAGGAGAAAUGCCCUGACAGGGUUGGGCCACAUGCUGGGGCAAGAGGGAGGGAGACGCCCUGGGUCCCACACAGC
rnacentral:lncRNA from 1 species